rnacentral:rRNA from 1 species
UACGGGGGGGGCAAGCGUUGUUCGGAAUUACUGGGCGUAAAGCGUGCGCAGGCGGUUUUGCAAGACAGAUGGGAAAUCCCCGGGCUCAACCUGGGAACUGCAUUUGUGACUGCACAGCUUGAGUGCGGCAGAGGGGGAUGGAAUUCCGCGUGUAGCAGUGAAAUGCGUAGAUAUGCGGAGGAACACCGAUGGCGAAGGCAAUCCCCUGGGCCUGCACUGACGCUCAUGCACGAAAGCGUGGGGAGCAAACAGG